GAUGAACGCUGGCGGCGUGCCUAAUACAUGCAAGUCGAACGCUGAAGCUUGGUGCUUGCACCGAGCGGAUGAGUUGCGAACGGGUGAGUAACGCGUAGGUAACCUGCCUCUUAGCGGGGGAUAACUAUUGGAAACGAUAGCUAAUACCGCAUAAAAGUCGAUAUCGCAUGAUAUUGAUUUGAAAGGUGCUAAUGCAUCACCAAGAGAUGGACCUGCGUUGUAUUAGCUAGUUGGUGAGGUAACGGCUCACCAAGGCGACGAUACAUAGCCGACCUGAGAGGGUGGUCGGCCACCCUGGGACUGAGACACGGCCCAGACUGCUACGGGAGGCAGCAGGAGGGAAUCGUCGGCAAUGGGGGCAAACCUGACCGAGCAACGCCGCGGGAGUGAAGAAGGUUUUCGGGUCGUAAAGCUCGGUUGUAAGAGAAGAACGAGUGUGAGAGUGGAAAGUUCACACUGUGACGGUAACUUAACAGAAAGGGACGGCUAACUACGUG
rnacentral:rRNA from 1 species